UUUUUUUUUUUGGUAAUCGUGUUUUUUAGUUGAGAACUAAAGAGGGGGUUACUUGAAACGAGUCAGCAAGAUUAUUAAACGUCGUACGAAAUGAAUUCAUGCCUAGUAAACGAUAAUCGUUUAUUAUGGAGAAGGCCAAUUAAGGAAUUGAGCGCAUUUAAAUUGGUGCAAUUUUCAUAUAUACACAGGGAAAAGUGGCUCGCAUAAUUUUCAUGCGAUUUCCUCUUCGCAUGAAAAUCAUGCGCUAAUAAUGCGAAAAUCAGAUGAAAAGUUUCUCAUGCGAAUAUGUUCGCAUGAUUUUCGCAUGAAAAUGUACAAUUCUCAUGCGAAAACAUUUUCGUAUGUUUUUCAUGCGAUUAGAUUUUUGUGUCAAAUUCAUAUAAAAUUCAUGCGAAAUUCACAUAAAAAUUGCAUGUUUUUCAUAUAAAAAUUUAAUUAUGACAAAUCAAUCUAUAACACUUUAAAAACAUUCUUUCAUUCAUAUGUUGACAUACUAGUUUCUUUUUUGUUAAAAAAUUUGACAUUUAGGCAACUAAACAAUUUCUACAUGUGUUGGAAUUAAUACAUGUAUAAAUAAAAAUUAGACUAGAGUUUACAUUUUAUCAAAAUAUACAUGUUUUCAAUACUUUUAAUGUCUUUGUUCAUGUAAACAUGUAAAAUUUGCCUUCACAAUAGUCAUUCACACCCACUGAGAGUUAUAUCUCUCUUCUUAGAAGGUCAGUAAACAUUAAGAUUUUAUUACAUGUGUAAUACUGUGCUGAUUGCAUUGGUCAUUAUUUAGGAUACAUACUUUAAGUCUUAUGUUUUUAAGAUACAAUUGAAGAGUUUGCGUGUACCAAACCUGUCGAACGCAGUAAGUGAAAUACAUACAGGAAAGCUUCCAGCUAUAUAUUCAAACAUGAAAUGAAUUAUUUCUAUGCUAGACAAUGAAAAUUCACUGAAAAUUCUUAACACUGUGAUACAGGUUUUCCAUGAUUCCAAGUGAUAUUGCAUAGGUCACAGUAUAUUUCAAAAGGAUCCAGGCCUCAGGGUCUCAAGUUUCAGUGUGUACCAAUGCUAUUGGACUGAUUUUGGUGUAAUCACUCUGGUGUCUGCAUCAUGUGCCUUAAUCCUUCCUUCUUCUGUAGCAUGUCUCUUUAUCCCUCUCCAUUUUUAAAUAUAUUUGUCAACCUUGUGUAUAUGCAAGACAAAAUAUAAUUAAUAAUACAACUUAAAUAAAACAAACAAAGGUACAUGUAUUGAGUACAUGUAUAACAGCAUAAAGCACAAGAUUUAUACACUCAGAUAUUAAAAAUUUAAAAAAAAACCAAUCAUAAUGUAUCUCUGUAUUGAAAUAACUUACAGUAUGUUUUAUCGAUCAAAAGCAAAUGAGAUCAACAGGUAUGUCCAGCUUCUUUUAUUAAAUAUAUGUUAAUCCAUGUUUGAUUUUAUAUACAUGUAUUUACAAACUUUAGAAAUAUUCAAAACGCAAGGCAUAUUUCACCGAAUAAACACUUACAUGGUAUCAUCAUAUGGACGGUUUGUUGUGCAUGAUUUCCAAGGUGAUAUAUGUUAUUGUUAUAGCCAUCAUAUAUACAACAUAUACUGGAGCAGCAUUCACCUAUUCUUCUGUCUGUGUAACAUUGCUUCGGAUCUUCAAGCAACCCUGUAGGAAAAAAAUAAAAUGUUAUGAACAUUUUCAAACUGCAUAUAUACUCAUAUAAAUGGAUUCGCCGUGAUAUAUUCAUUGACAAUACGCACAAAAAUUAUACUUGUAGGCCGAAUCUGGGAGGGGGAAGAUUCAAGGCGAUCAAGACCCCCCCC
rnacentral:sRNA from 1 species